rnacentral:tRNA from 1 species
UGGCGGCAUUAUUGCCCGGUGCAUGGGUUAACACGCUUUCGAUUGUCUCACCCGCAAGCACUGUGGCAUUUAAGG